rnacentral:rRNA from 1 species
GACGGAAGGUGCAAGCGUUGCUCGGAAUCACUGGGCGUAAAGGGUGCGUAGGCGGGUCUUUAAGUCAGGGGUGAAAUCCUGGAGCUCAACUCCAGAACUGCCUUUGAUACUGAAGAUCUUGAGUUCGGGGAGAGGUGAGUGGAACUUGCGAGUGUAGGAGGUGAAAUUCGUAGAUAUUCGCAAGAACACCAGUGGCGAAGGCGGCCAACUGGUCCGGUACUGAACGCUGAGGUGACGGAAAGCGUG